GGAUUAGGCAUGCAAGUCGAACGAGGGAGCAUUCCGAAAGGGAUGCAAACCGAGUGGCGUAAGGGUGAGUAAUGCAUUGAUAACCUACCUCCAAGAUGGGAAUAACAACGUUCCAAGCAAUUGGGGCUACCGAAAGGGUUGCUAAUACUCAAUAAAAUUAUUGUUGCUUCGGCAAUAAUAGUCAAAUAGGCGGAAUCGAAGGGUUCCGCUUGCUUGAAGAGGGGUCAAUGUCCUAUCAGCUAGUUGGUGGGGUAAUAGCCCACCAAGGCGAAGACGGGUAGCCGGCCUGAGAGGGUGGUCGGCCACACUGGGACUGAGAUACUGCCCAGACUCCUACGGGAGGCUGCAGUCGAGAAUCUUUCGCAAUGCCCGAAAGGGUGACGAAGCGACGCCGCGUGCGGGAGGAAGGCCUUCGGGUUGUAAACCGCUGUCGGGAGUUAAGAAAUGCAAGGAUGUUAAUAGCGUUCUUGCUUGACUAAGGCUCCGGAGGAAGCCACGGCUAACUCUGUGCCAGCAGCCGCGGUAAUACAGAGGCGGCAAGCGUUGUUCGGAAUUAUUGGGCGUAAAGAGCACGUAGGCGGCUGUGUAAGUCGGUUGUGAAAGCCUUCCGCUCAACGGAAGAACGGCAUCCGAUACUGCAUAGCUUGAGUGUGGGAGGGGAGAGUGGAACUUCUGGUGGAGCGGUGAAACGCGUAGAUAUCAGAAGGAACACCGGCGGCGAAGGCGACUCUCUGGUCCAUAACUGACGCUGAGUGUGCGAAAGCUAGGGGAGCAAACGGGAUUAGAUACCCCGGUAGUCCUAGCCGUAAACGAUGGGCACUAAGUAGAGGGGUUUU
rnacentral:rRNA from 1 species